rnacentral:tRNA from 1 species
UGGGGAGUCGCCAAGUGGUAAGGCACCGGACUUUGGAUCCGGCAUUCCUGGGUUCGAAUCCCAGCUCCCCAG